CACGUAGGGUGCGAGCGUUUGUCCGGAAUUAUUGGGCGUAAAGCGCGCGCAGGCGGCCUUUUAAGUCUGAUGUGAAAGCCCACGGCUCAACCGUGGAAGGUCAUUGGAAACUGAAAGGCUUGAGUACAGAAGAGGAAAGCGGAAUUCCACGUGUAGCGGUGAAAUGCGUAGAGAUGUGGAGGAACACCAGUGGCGAAGGCGGCUUUCUGGUCUGUAACUGACGCUGGAGGCGCGAAAGCGUGGGGAGCAAACAGG
rnacentral:rRNA from 1 species